rnacentral:rRNA from 1 species
CCUACGGGGGGCAGCAGUGGGGAAUAUUGCACAAUGGGCGCAGGCCUGAUGCAGCCAUGCCGCGUGUGUGAAGAAGGCCUUCGGGUUGUAAAGCACUUUCAGCGGGGAGGAAGGCGGUGAGGUUAAUAACCUCAUCGAUUGACGUUACCCGCAGAAGAAGCACCGGCUAACUCCGUGCCAGCAGCCGCGGUAAUACGGAGGGUGCAAGCGUUAAUCGGAAUUACUGGGCGUAAAGCGCACGCAGGCGGUCUGUCAAGUCGGAUGUGAAAUCCCCGGGCUCAACCUGGGAACUGCAUUCGAAACUGGCAGGCUAGAGUCUUGUAGAGGGGGGUAGAAUUCCAGGUGUAGCGGUGAAAUGCGUAGAGAUCUGGAGGAAUACCGGUGGCGAAGGCGGCCCCCUGGACAAAGACUGACGCUCAGGUGCGAAAGCGUGGGGAGCAAACAGGAUUAGAUACCCGUGUAGUC